AUUGAACGCUGGCGGCAGGCCUAACACAUGCAAGUCGAGCGGAUGAAGGGAGCUUGCUCCUGGAUUCAGCGGCGGACGGGUGAGUAAUGCCUAGGAAUCUGCCUGGUAGUGGGGGAUAACGUCCGGAAACGGGCGCUAAUACCGCAUACAUCCUGAGGGAGAAAGUGGGGGAUCUUCGGACCUCACGCUAUUAGAUGAGCCUAGGUCGGAUUAGCUAGUUGGUGGGGUAAAGGCCUACCAAGGCGACGAUCCGUAACUGGUCUGAGAGGAUGAUCAGUCACACUGGAACUGAGACACGGUCCAGACUCCUACGGGAGGCAGCAGUGGGGAAUAUUGGACAAUGGGCGAAAGCCUGAUCCAGCCAUGCCGCGUGUGUGAAGAAGGUCUUCGGAUUGUAAAGCACUUUAAGUUGGGAGGAAGGGCAGUAAGUUAAUACCUUGCUGUUUUGACGUUACCAACAGAAUAAGCACCGGCUAACUUCGUG
rnacentral:rRNA from 1 species